GCUCCCGUAGUCUAGUGGUCAAGGAUAGAGGCCUCUCGAGCCUCUGACGCGGGUUCAAAUCCCGCCGGGAGCA
rnacentral:tRNA from 2 species